AUCUGUUAUUUAAAACUAAGCAGAGGGUAACCUUACUGUUAACUGCAUGUACGUAUACAUAAUUUACCAUUGCUAUUAAUAUUAAUCUUCCAUUUUAAGCUCUUCCAACAGAGAACAGAUUACUUUGGACAGAUUCUUUAUUUCCUACCCUUGUGUUUUUUCAGCACAGCAGGCAGUGAAGUGCUUAAGCCCUCCCCUCCUCACUUUCUGAUUCGGAAGACAUAUUUACAAAUCACAUUGUACAGGAGGCUUCCAGACUUUGAAUACCCGUAAGCAAGCAUUGACAUGGAAAAACACUGAAGAAGAUGAUGAAAUCCUACUUUCAGAAGUCUGAAACUGCUCAUCAUAAAACAAAGGAAAAAAAAAGGCUUCCUCAUUCAUAGUAAGAAAUAAACUUGCAGACCUACUCAGGACCACUGAAGUUCAAAAGAAAGUUUAGAGGCCUCACUGAAAAAACAUGCACUCAUACUACAGAAGAAAAUCGGUCCAAAAAUAGGCCCAAUAUG
ensembl:lncRNA